CAUGCAAGUCGAACGGAAAUCUUUUAGAGAAAUCUUUUAGAUUUUAGUGGCGAACGGGUGAGUAACACGUAAGCAACCUGCCUUUAAGACGAGAAUAACAAUUGGAAACAGUUGCUAAGGCUGGAUAGGAAAUAAAAAGGCAUCUUUUUAUUUUUAAAAGACCUUCUUCGGAGGGUAUGCUUAAAGAGGGGCUUGCGUCACAUUAGUUAGUUGGUAGGGUGAUGGCCUACCAAGACGAUGAUGUGUAGCUGGACUGAGAGGUUGAACAGCCACAUUGGGACUGAGACACGGCCCAAACUCCUACGGGAGGCAGCAGUAGGGAAUUUUCGGCAAUGGAGGAAACUCUGACCGAGCAACGCCGCGUGAACGACGAAGUACUUCGGUAUGUAAAGUCCUUUUAUUGAAGAAGAAACAAUAGUGGAAAAACUAUCUUGACGUUAUUCAAUGAAUAAGCCCCGGCUAACUAUGUGCCAGCAGCCGCGGUAAUACAUAGGGGGCGAGCGUUAUCCGGAAUUAUUGGGCGUAAAGGGUGCGUAGGCGGUUUAAUAAGUCUCUAGUUUAAUUUCAACGCUUAACGUUGUUCUGCUAGAGAAACUGUUUGACUAGAGUGAGAUAGAGGUAAGCGGAAUUCCAUGUGUAGCGGUAAAAUGUGUAAAUAUAUGGAGGAACACCAGAGGCGUAGGCGGCUUACUGGGUCUUUACUGACGCUGAUGCACGAAAGCGUGGGGAGCAAACAGGAUUAGAUACCCUGGUAGUCCACGCCGUAAACUAUGAGUACUAAGUGUCGGGGUUAAACUCGGUACUGAAGUUAACACAUUAAGUACUCCGCCUGAGUAGUACGUACGCAAGUAUGAAACUUAAAGGAAUUGACGGGAUCCCGCACAAGCGGUGGAUCAUGUUGUUUAAUUCGAAGAUACACGAAAAACCUUACCAGGUCUUGACAUACUCUGCAAAACUAUAGAAAUAUAGUGGAGGUUAUCAGGGAUACAGGUGGUGCAUGGUUGUCGUCAGCUCGUGUCGUGAGAUGUUAGGUUAAGUUCUAAAACGAGCGCAACCCCUGUCGUUAAUUGCCAGCACGUUAUGGUGGGGACUUUAGCGAGACUGCCAAUGAAAAAUUGGAGGAAGGUGGGGAUUACGUCAAAUCAUCAUGCCCCUUAUGAUCUGGGCUACAAACGUGAUACAAUGGCUAUUACAAAGAGUGGCUUAAACGCGAGUUUUUGGCAAAUCUCAAAAAAAUAGUCUUAGUUCGGAUUGAAGUCUGCAACUCGACUUCAUGAAGUUGGAAUCGCUAGUAAUCGCGAAUCAGCAUGUCGCGGUGAAUACGUUCUCGGGGUUUGUACACACCGCCCGUCAAACCACGAAAGUGGACAAUACCCGAAAGCGACAGCCUAACUGCGUAAGCA
rnacentral:rRNA from 1 species